rfam:Myotis davidii contig66380, whole genome shotgun sequence.
GAUGGUUCUUGAGUGAUGAACCCCAGAAUCAGGCUCCCUACUUUCUGGUUCCAGGGUGUGUCACACAAGCUGCU